CCCUUAGACGUUCUGGGCCGCACGCGCGCUACACUGACCGGUGCAACAAGCAUCCGUCCUUGGCCGACAGGCCCGGACAAUCUUUGAACGCCGGUCGUGAUGGGGAUAGACUUUUGCAAUUUUUGGUCUUCAACGAGGAAUUCCUAGUAAACGCAAGUCAUCAACUUGCAUUGAUUACGUCCCUGCCCUUUGUACACACCGCCCGUCGCACCUACCGAUUGAAUGUUCCGAUGAAUACCAUGGACUGAGAGUAUGAAUGGGUUCGCCUAUUUCUGCUUCUCGGGAAGUGGAGUAAAUCUUAACAUUUAGAGGAAGGAGAAGUCGUAACA
rnacentral:rRNA from 1 species